ACUGGGCAUGGUGGCGCACGCCUGUAAUCCCAGCAGCUCAGGAGGCUGAGGCAGGAGGAUUGCGAGUUCAAAACCAGCUUCAG
rnacentral:sRNA from 1 species